rnacentral:rRNA from 1 species
ACUUGUUUUUGUUUGAACAAACUUAACCAAACAUUUUAUUUUGCAUUCUACGAAUGAAAAUCUAUAAAACUUUCAACAACGGAUCUCUUGGUUCUCGCACCGAUGAAGAACGCAGCGAAAUGCGAUACGUAGUAUGACUUGCAGACGUGAAUCAUCGAAUCUUUGAACGCACCUUGCGCCCUGGUCAUGCCAGGGCAUGCCUGUUUGAGCGGAGUUCUUCUCAAACCUUACGGUUUGGUUUUGAAGACUUAAAUAUAGCUGCUGUAUAAUUAAACUAAUACAGAUUCUAUUCCCUCAAAUCAGGUAGGAUUACCCGCUGAACUUAAGCAUAUCAAUAAGCGGAGGAAAAGAAACCAACAGGGAUUGCCUUAGUAACGGCGAGUGAAGCGGCAAGAGCUCAAAUUUGAAAGCCUCAUCUGAGGCAUUGUAAUUUGGAGGCCUGUAGUAACCUUCUGGACCUAAGUUCUUUGGAAAAAGACGCCACCGAGGGUGAUAGCCCCGCGGGUCCUUUGGUGAUUUCACUACAGCGCCAACGAGUCGAGUUGUUUGGGAAUGCAGCUCAAAGUGGGUGGUAAACUCCAUCUAAAGCUAAAUACCGGCGAGAGACCGAUAGCGAACAAGUACAGUAAUGGAAAGAUGAAAAGCACUUUGAAAAGAGAGUGAAACAGUACGUGAAAUUGUUGAAAGGGAAGGGCUUGCA